CCCUUAGAUGUUCUGGGCCGCACGCGCGCUACACUGACGAAGUCAGCGAGCAUGUCCUACGCCGACAGGUGCGGGGAAUCUUGUCAAACUUCGUCGUGAUGGGGUUUGAUUAUUGAAAUUCUUGAUCAUCAACGAGGAAUUCCUAGUAAGCGCAAGUCAGCAGCUUGCGUUGAUUACGUCCCUGCCCUUUGUACACACCGCCCGUCGCUACUACCGAUUGAAUGGUUUAGUGAGAUCUUCGGAUUGGCGCCACUGCGGCUCAGCAAUGGGCUCGGUGGAUGCCGAAAAGUUGAUCAAACUUGAUCAUUUAGAGGAAGUAAAAGUCGUAACA
rnacentral:rRNA from 1 species